GAGACAGAAGGUGGGAGCUUUGGCAAGAGCACCAGGUUGCUGUUCAUAGCCUCCCAGCCCGCCUCACACAGGCUGCACACCCAGAUGCUGGGGACUGCGGCCCAGUGAAGGCAGAAUGAAAGCCCUGCCUGCAGACACCUGCAACCCAGUGGAGAACAGGGGGCCUCCACUCCCAGAGCUCAUCUCAAAUACAGAAGACCCCAAGGUUCUACUUCAAUAAAAAGAGGGGGAAAUGAUGAUAUUAAACAUGAAGACACCUAGCAGCACAUGCCUGUCAAGAAGCUGACAACAGAUGUCACCCUGCACAUAUGCUACUCCUUCCAACAGGACCUUCUUGGCUUCACCUCCUUCCCAGAAGGAUGUCACUUCCUCAGAGGCCUUCCCCAACCACCCCCUCCGACAAACUAGAGCAGAGUCACACUGUGUGCUCUACAACUGUCCUUCAGUGAGUCUGCCUCAGUUU